UACGUAGGGGGCUAGCGUUGUCCGGAAUCAUUGGGCGUAAAGAGCGCGUAGGCGGCCAGAUAAGUCCGGUGUGAAAGUCACAGGCUCAACCUGUGGAUGCCGCUGGAAACUGUCUGGCUAGAGUCCGGGAGGGGCGAGUGGAAUUCCUGGUGUAGCGGUGAAAUGCGCAGAUAUCAGGAGGAACACCAGCGGCGAAGGCGGCGCUCUGGGCCGGAACUGACGCUGAGACGCGAAAGCGUGGGGAGCGAACAGG
rnacentral:rRNA from 1 species